rnacentral:rRNA from 1 species
GCACGGGAGCAAUCCUGGUGGCGAGUGGCGAACGGGUGAGUAAUAUAUCGGAACGUGCCCAGUCGUGGGGGAUAACGCAGCGAAAGCUGUGCUAAUACCGCAUACGAUCUACGGAUGAAAGCGGGGGAUCGCAAGACCUCGCGCGAUUGGAGCGGCUGAUAUCAGAUUAGCUAGUUGGUGGGGUAAAGGCCUACCAAGGCGACGAUCUGUAGCUGGUCUGAGAGGACGACCAGCCACACUGGAACUGAGACACGGUCCAGACUCCUACGGGAGGCAGCAGUGGGGAAUUUUGGACAAUGGGCGCAAGCCUGAUCCAGCAAUGCCGCGUGCAGGAUGAAGGCCUUCGGGUUGUAAACUGCUUUUGUACGGAACGAAAAGGUCUUUCUUAAUACGAGAGAUUUAUGACGGUACCGUAAGAAUAAGCACCGGCUAACUACGUGCCAGCAGCCGCGGUAAUACGUAGGGUGCGAGCGUUAAUCGGAAUUACUGGGCGUAAAGCGUGCGCAGGCGGUUUUGUAAGACAGAUGUGAAAUCCCCGGGCUCAACCUGGGACCUGCAUUUGUGACUGCAAGGCUAGAG